UUUGAUCCCUGCUUGCGCAGCGAACUUUUGCCUAGCAAUCCUUGUCAUUGUUGCUUCGAGAGAUGCUAGUCCUCGAGCGACCGUCGGGUUUCUGUGUUGGAUACCUCAAAAAGGAAAUCGUUCGGAAAGUUUAAAAUUUUCGUCUCAUGCCACCACGUGGUACUGGGAUGAACCUCAAGGCACCUAUCGUGCUCCCACACAAGCUUCGAUUGCAAUUGUCGCGUGCGUGGUGCAUGGUAUGACUGCUCGUGCUCUCGGAUAUGGAAAAUUCUAUGGCUAGGUUGUCUCUCUGACGACUUAUGCCAGAAAAAUAUUCCACGUUGGAACGACCGUCAUGCAUCRUCUCGGCGAUGUUGGCAUCGUGAAGGAAU
rnacentral:misc_RNA from 1 species